rnacentral:rRNA from 1 species
ACGUAGGGAGCAAGCGUUGUUCGGAUUUACUGGGCGUAAAGGGCGCGUAGGCGGCAAUUCAAGUCAGCUGUGAAAUCUCCGGGCUUAACUCGGAAAGGUCAACUGAUACUGCGGGGCUAGAGUGCGGAAGGGGCAACUGGAAUUCUUGGUGUAGCGGUGAAAUGCGUAGAUAUCAAGAGGAACACCUGCGGCGAAGGCGGGUUGCUGGGCCGACACUGACGCUGAGGCGCGAAAGCUAGGGGAGCGAACAGG